rnacentral:sRNA from 1 species
CAAAAGAAAAAGUUUGAAAAAAUAUCUAAUUCAUUUAUUUCUCUUUUUUGCUCUCGUCUCAGGUUUGGAAGACGACUCUCGUGAAUACUUCAGGAGAUCAAUUUGAAGAAAUAUCUUUUUGUUAUCUCUGGAGAUUAUGUCUUGUGUUGUGUACAAUUCUUUAUAACUAAUAUGUUUUUAAAUUUGCUACUUUAAAAACUGGUAAUUCGUAGUAUUCUUAUGUAAUCAGAUUACCUUUAAAGUUAACAUGUGAUGUUAACUAAUAUGUUUUUAAAUUUGCUACUUUAUGUUGCCUGUGCAUUCUCAAAGGAAUAUUUGGCCGUACAUACUAAGCUUCUUCUUCUUCUGUACAGCCUCUGAAGAAAGGUGGCUGGAAAAAGGUUCAAAUAAGAGCUGUCAGCCUUUCUUAUGGGCAAUCAAUUUUCAGAGUAGAGGAAAGUGAAGUACGAUGAACGGUAUUGACAUUAUUCCAAAAGAAAGCAAAGCAUACCACAUAUUCGUUGUAAAGAAUCUUCAUCACAAUUCUGUCUGGCAAUUCUGCGCUGGACAAAAGCAAAUAAGUAACAAACUCUGUAAUCUGGCAAUUCUGUUUAGUGUCUUUAUCAACAAAGCUAGGAUACUAACCAUUUUGCAAGCUGAACUCGUGCUGUCACUACAAUCAUAAAAUAUUUAUCAAUUAAUCACUACUGAUGUAUAUAUAAAAUUCGUUUAUUGAUCCUAUAGGGUUGUUGAAUUGAUGGAGAUUAUAUGAGCUAGACAGGCAAGAGAUGAUGAGAUUGAUUCAUGAAAAACAAUAUGCGCAUGAGGGGAGAAGAAUAUAUGUUAAAAAGAUAUUAGAUAAUAUUGGGAGUUCGAGACUAGAACUUUCUAUGAUAAAUGCACAAUAAGAUAUUAAGAUCAAUAGCCAAAGAGACUACAUCUGGUAUUAGUGGCUCCAUUACCGCUCAUGGAAGGGACUCGCUUGAUGAGAAGUCAUGAAUUUUCUUUCUUAAAUUGUAAGAUUGAUGGAACCAGGAAGGUGUGGCUUGGGAAAACCCUUGAGAGCCUAUGCAGUUGUGUUUUUCUCUCAAAUUUACAUGUUUCGAGUCAUCUCUCCCGACGGAUGGAAUGACUGGGGAAAUCUAACCGAGACAAGUAAAUAUAGUAACUUUCAUUUCAAGUCAUAUACUACAUAAUCUGAAUUAUGCUAAAAUGAGUUUUGUUUUCAUUUAGACUAUUGAUGUAUAUAGUGUAAUACUACGACGUCCUUAACGUCUAGAUUUUUGAAAGAAAAUAAUAACAUAUAUUUAU